rnacentral:rRNA from 1 species
UACGGGAGGGCAAGCGUUGUCCGGAUUAUUGGGCGUAAAGAGCUCGUAGGCGGCUUGUCGCGUCGUCCGUGAAAACCUGCGGCUCAACUGCAGGCUGGCGGUCGAUACGGGCAGGCUGGAGUUCGGUAGGGGAGACUGGAAUUCCUGGUGUGAGCGGUGAAAGUGCGCAGAUAUCAGGAGGAACACCGGUGGCGAAGGGCGGGGUCUCUGGG